UUGUUUCUCGGUACCAGUGCAGAAAAGGUUUUCAUAAUUUUACAUCGUAUACAUACAUUUUAUCUUUUUCGUUAGUAUUUAUGUAAUAAGAUACUUUGGUCAAAUGAGUAGUAAAAAAAUAAUCCAACCGAAAAUAAAUAUAAGUGACUGCUAAUGUCAUGCUUAGCCGCCUGCACAGGGGGAUUAUAUUAACGAAUAGAACAGUGAGACUGAGUUUUUAAGAAGCAGAUUAGCAUGAAAUUACUGUACUAGAGCCUAGAGGAAAGUUUUCAGUACCGCCGAGUUUUCCGCAACCGAACGAAGACAGUAGCACAAAAAUCUAUGACAACCUAGAUUGGAAUCUUCA